rnacentral:rRNA from 1 species
UUCGGAAUGAGUAGAGCGGCGGACGGGUGAGUAAUGCAUAGGAAUCUGCCCAGUAGUGGGGGAUAGCCCGGGGAAACCCGGAUUAAUACCGCAUACGUCCUACGGGAGAAAGCAGGGGAUCUUCGGACCUUGUGCUACUGGAUGAGCCUAUGUCGGAUUAGCUUGUUGGUGGGGUAAUGGCCCACCAAGGCGACGAUCCGUAGCUGGUCUGAGAGGAUGAUCAGCCACACUGGAACUGAGACACGGUCCAGACUCCUACGGGAGGCAGCAGUGGGGAAUAUUGCACAAUGGGGGAAACCCUGAUGCAGCCAUGCCGCGUGUGUGAAGAAGGCCUUCGGGUUGUAAAGCACUUUCAGUAGGGAGGAAGGCCCUAAAGUUAAUACCUUUAGGGAUUGACGUUACCUACAGAAGAAGCACCGGCUAACUCCGUGCCAGCAGCCGCGGUAAUACGGAGGGUGCGAGCGUUAAUCGGAAUUACUGGGCGUAAAGCGCGCGUAGGCGGUUAGUUAAGCUGGAUGUGAAAGCCCUGGGCUCAACCUGGGAACUGCAUUCAGAACUGGCUGGCUAGAGUACGAGAGAGGGUAGUGGAAUUUCCUGUGUAGCGGUGAAAUGCGUA